AACGUAGGUACCGAGCGUUAUCCGGAUUUACUGGGCGUAAAGCGUGUUCAGGCGGCCUGGCAAGUCGGGCAUGAAAUCUCUCGGCUCAACCGAGAGAGGCUGUCCGAUACUGCUGGGCUUGAGGACGGUAGAGGGUGGUGGAAUUCCGCGUGUAGUGGUGAAAUGCGUAGAUAUGCGGAGGAACACCAGUGGCGAAGGCGGCCACCUGGACCGUCCCUGACGCUCAACACGAAAGCUAGGUAGCGAACGGG
rnacentral:rRNA from 1 species